rnacentral:rRNA from 1 species
GAGGCAGCAGUAAGGAAUAUUGGUCAAUGGGCGGAAGCCUGAACCAGCCAUGCCGCGUGCAGGAUGACUGCCCUAUGGGUUGUAAACUGCUUUUGUCCAGGAAUAAACCUAAAUACGUGUAUUUAGCUGAAUGUACUGGAAGAAUAAGGAUCGGCUAACUCCGUGCCAGCAGCCGCGGUAAUACGGAGGAUCCGAGCGUUAUCCGGAUUUAUUGGGUUUAAAGGGUGCGUAGGCGGCCUAUUAAGUCAGGGGUGAAAUACGGUGGCUCAACCAUCGCAGUGCCUUUGAUACUGAUGGGCUUGAAUCCAUUUGAAGUGGGCGGAAUAAGACAAGUAGCGGUGAAAUGCAUAGAUAUGUCUUAGAACUCCGAUUGCGAAGGCAGCUCACUAAGCUGGUAUUGACGCUGAUGCACGAAAGCGUGGGGAUCGAACAGGAUUAGAUACCCUGGUAGUCCACGCCCUAAACGAUGAUAACUCGAUGUUGGCGAUAGACAGCCAGCGUCCCAGCGAAAGCGUUAAGUUAUCCACCUGGGGAGUACGCCCGCAAGGGUGAAACUCAAAGGAAUUGACGGGGGCCCGCACAAGCGGAGGAGCAUGUGGUUUAAUUCGAUGAUACGCGAGGAACCUUACCCGGGCUUGAAAGUUAGUGAAGAGUGCAGAGACGCACUCGUCCUUCGGGACACGAAACUAGGUGCUGCAUGGCUGUCGUCAGCUCGUGCCGUGAGGUGUUGGGUUAAGUCCCGCAACGAGCGCAACCCCUAUGUUUAGUUGCCAGCAUUUAAGGUGGGGACUCUAAACAGACUGCCUGUGCAAACAGAGAGGAAGGUGGGGACGACGUCAAGUCAUCAUGGCCCUUACGUCCGGGGCUACACACGUGCUACAAUGGAUGGUACAGCGGGCAGCUACAUAGCAAUAUGAUGCUAAUCUCUAAAAGCCAUUCACAGUUCGGAUUGGGGUCUGCAACUCGACCCCAUGAAGUUGGAUUCGCUAGUAAUCGCGUAUCAGCAAUGACGCGGUGAAUACGUUCCCGGGCCUUGUACACACCGCCCGUCAAGCCAUGAAAGUUGGGGGUACCUAAAGCAUGUUACCGCAAGGAGCGUGUUAGGGUAAAACCGAUAAUUGGGGCUAAGUCGUAACAAGGUAGCCGUAAAGGGCGACACGCGAUUGCAGUCUUGAG